rnacentral:rRNA from 1 species
AUUGAACGCUGGCGGCAGGCCUAACACAUGCAAGUCGAGCGGAGCGGCGGACGGGUGAGUAAUGCCUAGGAAUCUGCCUGGUAGUGGGGGAUAACGUCCGGAAACGGGCGCUAAUACCGCAUACUAUCAGAUGAGCCUAGGUCGGAUUAGCUAGUUGGUGGGGUAAAGGCCUACCAAGGCGACGAUCCGGAACUGGUCUGAGAGGCUGAUCAGUCACACUGGACCUAGUACGCGAUCCAGACUCCGACGGGAGGCAGCGUUGUGGAAUGUUUGACAAAGGGCGAAAGCCUGAUCCAGCCAUGCCGCGUGUGUGAAGAAGGUCUUCGGAUUGUAAAGCACUUUAAGUUGGGAGGCGUUCCCAACAGAAUAAGUACCGGCUAACUUCGUGCCAGCAGCCGCGGUAAUAC